UGACCAGCGGAGGGAUCAUUACCGAGUUUACAACUCCCAAACCCAAUGUGAACCAUACCAAACUGUUGCCUCGGCGGGGUCACGCCCCGGGUGCGUCGCAGCCCCGGAACCAGGCGCCCGCCGGAGGGACCAACCAAACUCUUUACUGUAGUCCCCUCGCGGACGUUAUUUCUUACAGCUCUGAGCAAAAAAUUCAAAAUGAAUCAAAACUUUCAACAACGGAUCUCUUGGUUCUGGCAUCGAUGAAGAACGCAGCGAAAUGCGAUAAGUAAUGUGAAUUGCAGAAUUCAGUGAAUCAUCGAAUCUUUGAACGCACAUUGCGCCCGCCAGUAUUCUGGCGGGCAUGCCUGUCCGAGCGUCAUUUCAACCCUCGAACCCCUCCGGGGGGUCGGCGUUGGGGAUCGGGAACCCCUCAGACGGGAUCCCGGCCCCGAAAUACAGUGGCGGUCUCGCCGCAGCCUCUCCUGCGCAGUAGUUUGCACAACUCGCACCGGGAGCGCGGCGCGUCCACGUCCGUAAAACACCCAACUUUCUGAAAUGUUGACCUCGGAUCAGGUAGGAAUACCCGCUGAACUUAAGCAUAUCAAUAAGGCGGA
rnacentral:rRNA from 1 species